AGUGAACGCUGGCGGUAGGCCUAACACAUGCAAGUCGAACGGCAGCACAAAGGAGCUUGCUCCUUGGGUGGCGAGUGGCGGACUGGUGAGGAAUACAUCGGAAUCUACUCUGUCGUGGGGGAUAACGUAGGGAAACUUACGCUAAUACCGCAUACGACCUACGGGCGAAAGCAGGGGAUCUUCGGACCUUGCGCGAUUGAAUGAGCCGAUGUCGGAUUAGCUAGUUGGCGGGGUAAAGGCCCACCAAGGCGACGAUCCGUAGCUGGUCUGAGAGGAUGAUCAGCCACACUGGAACUGAGACACGGUCCAGACUCCUACGGGAGGCAGCAGUGGGGAAUAUUGGACAAUGGGCGCAAGCCUGAUCCAGCCAUACCGCGUGGGUGAAGAAGGCCUUCGGGUUGUAAAGCCCUUUUGUUGGGAAAGAAAUCCAUCUGGUUAAUACCCGGGUGGGAUGACGGUACCCAAAGAAUAAGCACCGGCUAACUUCGUGCCAGCCGCCGCGGUAA
rnacentral:rRNA from 1 species